rnacentral:rRNA from 1 species
GAUCAUGGCUCAGGAUGGACGCUAGCUACAGGCUUAACACAUGCAAGUCGAGGGGCAGCAUGGUCUUAGCUUGCUAAGGCCGAUGGCGACCGGCGCACGGGUGAGUAACACGUAUCCGAACCUGCCGUCUACUCUUGGACAGCCUUCUGAAAGGAAGAUUAAUACAAGAUGGCAUCAUGAGUCCGCAUGUUCACAUGAUUAAAGGUAUUCUGGUAGACGAUGGGG